rnacentral:hammerhead_ribozyme from 1 species
AUCCAGCUGACGAGUCUUAAAUAGGACGAAACGUGCGUCAAACUGGAU